CGGGGUGUAGCGCAGCCUGGUAGCGCACGUGGUUUGGGACCACGGUGUCGCUGGUUCGAAUCCAGUCACCCCGA
rnacentral:tRNA from 1 species